CCUACGGGUGGCAGCAGUGGGGAAUAUUGGGCAAUGGGCGCAAGCCUGACCCAGCAACGCCGCGUGAAGGAAGAAGGCUUUCGGGUUGUAAACUUCUUUUAUCAGGGACGAAGCAAGUGACGGUACCUGAUGAAUAAGCCACGGCUAACUACGUGCCAGCAGCCGCGGUACUACGUAGGUGGCAAGCGUUAUCCGGAUUUACUGGGUGUAAAGGGCGUGUAGGCUGGAGUGCAAGUCAGAUGUGAAAACUAUGGGCUCAACACAUAGCCGGCAGUUGCAACUGUACUUCUUGAGAGCUGGAGAGGCAAGCGGAAGUCGGGGUGUAGCGGUGAAAUGCGUAGAUAUACGGAGGAACACCAGUGGCGAAGGCGGAUUGCUGGACAGUAACUGACGCUGAGGCGCGAAAGCGUGAGGAGCAAACAGGAGUAGAUACCCGAGUC
rnacentral:rRNA from 1 species